rnacentral:rRNA from 1 species
UACGGGGGGAGCAAGCGUUGUUCGGAUUUACUGGGCGUAAAGGGCGCGUAGGCGGUCAGCACAAGUCAGUUGUGAAAUCUCCGGGCUUAACUCGGAAAGGUCAACUGAUACUGUGCGACUAGAGUGCAGAAGGGGCAACUGGAAUCCUCGGUGUAGCGGUGAAAUGCGUAGAUAUCGAGAGGAACACCUGCGGCGAAGGCGGGUUGCUGGGCUGACACUGACGCUGAUGCGCGAAAGCCAGGGGAGCGAACAGG